rnacentral:lncRNA from 1 species
GAAGGCGGAGGAGGGAGUGCCUGGGAACAGGCGCAUACGCUUGGCGCGGUGCCUCGCAGCUGUCUGCGGGUGGGGCCGCCGCUUUCCCUUGCAGACGAAAGCUGCUGACGGGAAAACCACGCGGGAGGGGAACGUCUAGGCCCUGGCCCUUUCCCCUCAAAGGCCGCGGGAACAUAGGGCUGGGGAAUCCUGGCAGAGGCUCUGGGCAUUAUUACAGAUGGUCGUUGAGGGUCGCAAGCACCAGGCCUGGAGGCCCUCCUCGGCCUGCUACCAGCUGUGACCUUUGGAAAGUGACUUGGCUCGCGCCUCAGUUUUCCGUUUUCUGGAGGACUUGCGGCCUGAGAGUGGCCAAAAAGAAGAGAGUUACUGUCGCAGUCACUGCCUGCCUAGUGGGUAUUUAGGUGCCCAGUCAUGCCUUUGCUCUCGGAGCCAGUGCCUGGUGCAAGCACUGCGGUGGGUUCGUGCCCCAGCUUGGGGGCCACAGGGCUGACUCGGCCGCACUGCCUAUGCGAGCUUGGCCCCAGUUUCCUCGUCAGGGCACAGAACUUCCUUCAAAGGUAAUGAAAAGAGGUGAAAUCUGUGUCACCUUUAGUCCCUGGCUCAUAGUGGGCUCGUAAUCCCGGUUACAGGCUUCAGGCCGCGCACAGGGCA